UAUGACGUCAUGGAGCGGGUUCCUGUAAUCUUACUGUAUCCGAUCCGCAGCCAUAAUUACUUAUUUCCACAGGAGUCAGGACACCCUGCCGGUCCCUGUUCUGCUGCGAUCCCAAGUACUCCGUGUGAACUCCUUACCUGCUCACCGCUGUCUACAACAGGGGCCCUACUUGUCGCAAAUGAGAUACACAUGUAAAAGCAUUUUGCAAACUG